rnacentral:rRNA from 1 species
AGCGAACGCUGGCGGCAGGCCUAACACAUGCAAGUCGAACGAACCUUUCGGGGUUAGUGGCGGACGGGUGAGUACCACGUGGGAACGUGUCUUUAGGUUCGGAAUAACUCAGGGAAACUUGUGCUAAUACCGAAUGUGCCCUUCGGGGGAAAGAUUAAUCGCCUUUAGAGCGGCCCGCGUCUGAUUAGCUAGUUGGUUGAGGUAAUGGCUCACCAAGGCGACGAUCAGUAGCUGGUCUGAGAGGAUGAUCAGCCACAUUGGGACUGAGACACGGCCCAAACUCCUACGGGAGGCAGCAGUGGGGAAUCUUGCGCAAUGGGCGAAAGCCUGACGCAGCCAUGCCGCGUGAAUGAUGAAGGUCUUAGGAUUGUAAAAUUCUUUCACCGGGGACGAUAAUGACGGUACCCGGAGAAGAAGCCCCGGCUAACUUCGUG